rnacentral:rRNA from 1 species
AUUGAACGCUGGCGGCAGGCCUAACACAUGCAAGUAGGACGCAGUUGCGAACGGGUGAGUAACGCGUCGGUAACUACCUGUUAGAGGGGGAUAACUAUUGGAAACGAUAGCUAAUACCGCCUACUCGUAGCUGGACCUGCGUUGUUUUAGCUAGUAGGUAGGGUAAUGGCCUACCUAGGCAACGAUACAUAUCCGACCUGCGAGGGUGAGCGGCCAAACUGGGACUGAGACACGGCCCAGACUCCUACGGGAGGCAGCAGUAGGGAAUCUUCGGAAAUGGGGGGAACCCUGACCGAGCAACGCCGCGGGAGUGAAGAAGGUUUUCGGAGCGUAAAGCUAUGUUGUUAAGGAAGCGGUACUUAACCAGAAAGGGACGGCUAACUACGUGCCAGCAGCCGCGGUAAUAC